rnacentral:rRNA from 1 species
UACGGAGGGGGCUAGCGUUGUUCGGAAUUACUGGGCGUAAAGCGCACGUAGGCGGACUGUUAAGUCGGGGGUGAAAUCCCGAGGCUCAACCCCGGAAUGGCCUUCGAAACUGGCGGUCUUGAGCUGAAGAGAGGUGAGUGGAAUUCCGAGUGUAGAGGUGAAAUUCGUAGAUAUUCGGAGGAACACCAGUGGCGAAGGCGACUCGCUGGCUUCUUGCUGACGCUGAGAUGCGAAAGCGUGGGGAGCAAACAGG